rnacentral:RNase_P_RNA from 1 species
CUGAGGGGGGAUGGGUUAAGGGAAGGGUGAAACGAGGCAAUCUCUACGCGGAGCAAGGCCAAAUAGGGAAGGAAUCAGGAAGAUCCGUUCGUGCGGAUGGACUGGUGCGGAAUAGCUAGUUCCGCCAUGACUUCCGGGUAGGCCGCAUGAGGCCGGCAGUGAUGCCGGUCCCAGAUGGAUGACCGUUGGGCGCAUAGCGCUUACAGAACCCGGCUUAUAGAUCUGCUUUAUAA